UCCGUCUGUAGUUAUAGGUUUCCGUGUCCAAUAUUUAACUAUUCAUUUUAUUUAAAUUUUUUUAUGAUUAAUAUUUUUUGUUGCUAUUAGAUAAUGCGUGAUUUAAUUUUUUUUCAUAAAUUUUUAAAUAAGAUGGAUGAUCAAACGUUAGACACAAAACUCACAGCUACGUUUUAA
rnacentral:pre_miRNA from 1 species